rnacentral:rRNA from 1 species
GACGGAGGGGGCUAGCGUUGUUCGGAAUGACUGGGCGUAAAGAGCGCGUAGGCGGUUUAUUAAGUGAGGCGUGAAAGCCCUGGGCUUAACCUAGGAGGUGCGUUUCAUACUGAUAAGCUAGAGUACGAGAGAGGAAAGCGGAAUUCCUAGUGUAGAGGUGAAAUUCGUAGAUAUUAGGAAGAACACCAGUGGCGAAGGCGGCUUUCUGGCUCGUAACUGACGCUGAGGCGCGAAAGCGUGGGGAGCAAAC